rnacentral:lncRNA from 1 species
GUCUCUCUCUCUGCCCAGGCCUCCUCCCUACUGCUGAAAUGAUCUUUUUAAAUCUGAUUGUGUCAUUUCCCUGCUUACAGCCUCCAGUGCCUCCCCAUCUUAGCCAUGAGAACACUGUGAGCUCUUUGGCCUUCUGCUUAAGACCCUUCAUCCUCAUUAAAGACUUCCAUUGCCAGUUGUGUGCUGACAGCCCUCAUGGACGUCAUCGCUGAGAUGUCCCAGAUGCUGCAAAGCCAUUGGAUUUUGGAGAAGCUCGGUGAUGGCACCAGAUCAGCUCUUUCCACCUGCAGUGCCUCCUUCCUCCCUGCUAUCCAGAUGCCUCCUUCUUCCCCUCCCAACCCCCUACAUUCUGUUACCAAAUCCUAUAAAUUUUAUCUCCUAAGCCCUUCUUAUGUCUGUCCCCUCUUCUAAACAGGCUUUAUCUAGUCACCAGAGUAAUAUUCUACACUAUAGAUGCACCCUGAUUAAAAUCUUUUAAUGACUGGCCCCAUGGCCUCCAGGGAAUGGUCCUGGGUACCUGCUCUGAAUUCCCUAUGAGGCCCCCUGUACACACACCCCAUCUCUGUGCCCAUGACAGCUCUUCAUCUGGGCCUGCUUGGCAAACUCCUGCUUCUUUUACCAGUCUUGCCUCCAGAGCUACCUCCUUCCCACAGCAUCCCCCCCUCCCAGGUAGAAUGGUCCCCUCCUUCCAACUGUCAACCAUGGAACCAUGGAGGCUCCAUCUGCCUCACUUCCUUGGCCAGGACCAUGCUUGUCUUUUUUCCGUGCCACAGAGCCUGACACAGAGAAGCCUUGGCCAGUGCUCCACCAGAGCCUGGGGAGAGAACAUACCUGUGAGGAAGCCCUGGGGACUGUUUACACCUAUCCCUGGCAGAGAUUCUUCUGUGGACCAGGGCAGUCCAGGAGGUUGGGCCCUUACCCACUGACGGGGGCUAUGCCUGCGGCAGUCAAGUCCCCCGCAGGGUGGCACCCAGCAAGUUCUCUGCUGCAGAGAGCCCCCAGGCUGAGAAGACAACAGGCAGAGGCGAGAGCAAGAGCGGAACCUCCAGGUGCGGGCAGGUAAACUUAGGUGGGCGGGGCGUCCAGGGCCGCGCGUCAUUGGCCGAUUGCACACCUGUGCUCUCAGUGCUCUUGUCCUCAGAGCUCACUCCCCUGUGAGUAUCUCCAGGAGGACUCCCAGAGGAGUCACACGCUUCCAUGCUCUGUUGGGCUCUUCCCCUCCACAGCAUUGUGACUCUCCACUCAGUCACCAUGACAGAUCUCCAUACCACCUUUGCUGUCGCCCAGAGGGCCCACCUGCCCACUCAGGACCACAUUGGCCACACCUGCUCACCUGGGCUGCUAGGGCCACUGCGCCAACCGUCCUAGGCCACUGCUUGCUGCUGCCUUUGGCUGACAUCAGUCCAGGAUGUGAGGGUGAUUGUUGUGGCCGGUGACUGCCCCCUUCGUCUGGGGGCUGGGGUGGAGGGCUGGUCAGCCGGGCAGGGUAGAGGACAGUUCAUUUUCCUCUGGCACUUGCCCCCUCACAGGGUCCAGGACACAGCUUUCUGAUCCUGCCAUGGCCCAUUUUUUCCCCAGGAUGACCCAGGUGCCAAGAUCUUAAAGUCACUCUCUGUCUCUGUCCCUAUCUCUCCCCAUUGGUUCUGUUUCUCUGAAGAACCCAGACUGAUACACAGCACAAAGGCCAAUUUAUUAAUUAAUUUAAGGCAUCUUUGUGUUCCUAAAUAUUUAUUAAGCACCUUGAACCGUGGUGGGCUCUGAAGAAGUAGCAGUGAGGCAGCCCCAUGCUGGCGCGUCUCCUCCUUGUCUCUGGCAUAAAUGUCAUCUCUCCAGAGGAGCCCUGUUGGACCUUUCCUGAAACUGAUUGCCCCACCCCAUUAUUAUUCUUUGUUUCAGCACCUUCAAAUCAUUAUUUUUAAAUUAUUUUAUUGAUAUCCUUUUGGGGGGGUUGGGAGAAAGGGUCUGUUUUCUCUUUAUUUAAUAGAACCUAAGUGCCAGGAGGGCCUUAGCUCAGAGGAGACCACAAAUGUUUGUUGCAUGGCAGAUGGAUGAAUGGAUAGGAGAUGCCGCUCCUUACUCUCAAGGCCCUCACAUCCAGUGGGUGGCUGGGGGGUGGGAGAUUGGGUUCAGGGCUCCCGACACCUGUAGGAGCCUUAAUGGAAGAUCUGAAGAGGUCUGCAUCCUGGUAAGCUCAGCAAAGUCUUCCCAUGUGGCCUGAAUGCCAAUCUGUACCCCAGCCAGUUGGCCAAAACUCUAUUUUUACUUUUUUAAAAGAUUUUAUUUAUUCAUGAGAGACACAGAGAGAGAGGCAGAGACAUAGGCAGAAGGAGAAGCAGGUUCCCCGUAGGGAGCCUAAUGAGGGACUCGAUCCCAGGGCCCCAGGAUUAGGACUUGAGCCAAAGGCAGAUGCUCAACCACUAAGCCACCCAGGUGUCCCAACACUCUAUUUUUAAAAGAAUCUGUUUUAUUUUAUUUUUAAAAGAUUUUAUUCAUUUAUUUAUGAGAGACACAGGCAGAGGCACAGGAGGAGGGAGGAGACUCCAUGCAGGGAGUCCGAUGUGGGACUCGAUCCUGGACUCCAGGAUCACGUCCUGACCCAAAGGCAGACACUCAACUGCUGAGCCACCCAGGCGUCCCUUAAAUGAAUAUAUUUUAAAAACAAUUUUAUUGAGGUUUAAUUUACAUACAAUAAACUGCAAUCAUUUUAAGUUCCA